GAAGAAUUAGUUAAUUAAUAACAUUAAAAUGUCAAAUUAAAAUAAUCAUUAAAUAUGAUAUUCCUCA
rnacentral:tRNA from 1 species